UAAAUAAAUAAAUAAAUAAAUAAAUAAAUAAAUACUAGUGAAAACAAAAUAAUAAUAAAUUAAUAAAUAAAUACAAUUAACAGAAUGCCCGUUACAACUGCAUUCUCCCUCCUACUCGUCACCACGCAACUCCUAUAAAGCCUCGUUACAUAGCACACCAUUUCUUAUUUAUUCACCAAGAAGUUCGGCUCGAGUAAAUAAAAUAAAUAAAAUAAAUUAUUCUAGAACUCUGGACGACCCGACUUUAUUCCUUCAUAAUAAGAACUUUCGUCGAGCCGGCCGUACAUGCUAUCAAACGAUGCCCGUAAGGUGGCGACGCCAUACAUCGACGCAGCGAACCACCUCACCUGCGCAUCGCUCCUCGCCAACGCGUGCACCCUAAGCCACCAGUCAUACAAUGGCAUCCAUUUUAUCCAUGUGCGCGUUAUAUUAAUAAUUAUUUCAUAUUUAAGAAUUUCGCAAGUGGCAUUUCUUCGCGAGUGUAAAUAGAUCUCUCAGUAAUGGAUACUAUAUUACCCGCAAUACGCCCAACUUAUAAUCUCCACACGAGUAGAGAAUCGUUCUCAUGAAGUGCACCGUUAAAUUAUGAUGUCAAAAUCGAAAAACCCCCCCGCAGCCCGAGAAAUAAUGAGUAAACAAUUGACAGCCUGGCCGGACGCGACAUGGAACGUGGUAAACGACAAAAGGCAGGCCUCCGUGAAAAUACAAAGAUUGGCGAAUUAAUAUUUGUUACCCAAGAAAAGCAAAGAUCUCCUGACUAGAUGGAUGCUUCAAUAAUAUUGAAAGAGAUUACAGAAUGUCUUGAGCGUGUGACAAGAUAUAGAAAAAGUUAUUGGAGUAUUCACCAAGAAAGAAAACAGUUGUCAAGUCUGAAAUUUCUCUCGAUAUUUGUUGAUGUGCAACUAUCAUGAGAACAACGUGAUUAAUUAUUGGAGCAAGCGAAAAGAAACUAUAAUUAUUUACAUUCAAUUAUAUCCAUAUUAAUCCGUAUUCUUAAAACCAAAAAGAAAUACUAUCGUAUGUCAAAGUCAUAUACGAUAAUUGCAACCAUUGCUGAGGUAUAUUUACAGAUUUGUUAGACCAUAUAACUGCCCACUAAUCUAUUUGGAGGAUGUAGUAAACAAUUUGCCUCGAAGUGAGUGUAAUGCUUUGGGCUCAUUACCAAAUGGGAAUGUGACGGAUUUGGCAAUUCCAAUUUAAAUAGAAAUUUGGAAAUAACUAUGAUUUAGAUUUAUAUAUAUUCCAAAGUUCCUUUGUGGCAUUAAGAUUUAAUCUGCCUGUCGCGUUGCUAGUACUUAGUGGUUCCCGACUUUUGAAAUGGACUGUAUAAUAGUCUGUGAGUUCAGCUCAGAGAUUGAAUUUCGAUAUAUCCUGUUCGAGGAUCUGAAUAACUAUCGCCAAGUGUUUAAAGUUUCGAACUUAUAUCCUUCUUCCACUUUCACAAGAAUACCAAAUUCCUGUCCCGAAAGCUGGCUGAAAGAAUUUUGACCAAGAAGGAAUUAAUUAACUUUAUUAACAUUGAGGGCAUUCAGAUAAAAAAUGAAAUAGGAUAUUUGUAAUAUUUUUAUAUUGGAAUCUCUUUUACUAUUUACUUACAUAUGUCGAUGUUAAGUAAUUUUUUAUUUCAAUCGCAGUUGCAGAUUACCUAGAGACAUUUAUAUUUGUAGUUUUGACUUCGGUAUUGAGAAUGACCAAAGCGAUAUAUUGUCAUCUGAAUCAAUGCUUUGCGGCCAGAAUUUUAAACCUCGAAUCCAACAAUGUAUUUAGUACAUAAAAAUUAUCUUCAACAGCUCUUAUGUAAUAAUCUAUACAAUAUAUUAAUUGUUGUCGCAAGGUAAAUAUAUUCGAUGGAUGUAUAUAAUGGAA